rnacentral:rRNA from 1 species
AGCAGCCGCGGUAAUUCCAGCUCCAAUAGCGUAUAUUAAAGUUGUUGCAGUUAAAAAGCUCGUAGUUGAACUUCGGGGUCUACCCAUUGGUCAGGCUUAAUUGUCUGCACUGGUGAGAUGGAUCUCUACCUUCUGAGGAACUUUCAUGCCAUUUAUUUGGUGUGGUUGGAAAUCAGGACUGUUACUUUGAAAAAUUAGAGUGUUUAAAGCAGACUAUCGUCUGAAUACAUUAGCAUGGAAUAAUGAAAUAGGACGGACUGAUUCUAUUUCGUUGGUUUCUAGGAUCACCGUAAUGAUUAAUAGGGAUAGUUGGGGGCAUUAGUAUUCAAUUGUCAGAGGUGAAAUUCUUGGAUUUAUUGAAGACCUAACUACUGCGAAAGCAUUUGCCAAGGAUGUUUUCAUUAAUCAAGAACGGAAGUUAGGGGAUCGAAGACGAUCAGAUACCGUCGUAGUCUUAACCAUAAACUAUGCCGACUAGGGAUCGGACGAAGUUAAUUUUAUAAUGACGCGUUUCGGCUAA